rnacentral:rRNA from 1 species
AGUGAACGCUGGCGGCAGGCCUAAUACAUGCAAGUCGAACGGCAGCACAGCAGAGCUUGCUCUGUGGGUGGCGAGUGGCGGACGGGUGAGGAAUACAUGGGAAUCUGCCCAGUCGUGGGGGAUAACGUAUGGAAACGUACGCUAAUACCGCAUGCGCCCUAAGGGGGAAAGCCGGGGACCGCAAGGCCUGGCGCGAUUGGAUGAGCCCAUGUUCGAUUAGCUAGUUGGCGGGGUAAAGGCCCACCAAGGCGACGAUCGAUAGCUGGUCUGAGAGGAUGAUCAGCCACACUGGAACUGAGACACGGUCCAGACUCCUACGGGAGGCAGCAGUAGGGAAUAUUGGACAAUGGGGGCAACCCUGAUCCAGCCAUGCCGCGUGAGUGAAGAAGGCCCUCGGGCUGUAAAGCUCUUUUGUCCGGAAGAAAGCAAUCGGUUAAUACCCGGUUGUCCUGACGGUACCGGAAGAAUAAGCACCGGCUAACUUCGUGCC